rnacentral:rRNA from 1 species
AUACGGGAGGCAGCAGUGGGGAAUUUUGGACAAUGGGGGCAACCCUGAUCCAGCCAUUCCGCGUGAGUGAAGAAGGCCUUCGGGUUGUAAAGCUCUUUUGUCCGGAACGAAACGGGUGCGGUGAAUAUCCGCAUCUACUGACGGUACCGGAAGAAUAAGCACCGGCUAACUACGUGCCAGCAGCCGCGGUAAUACGUAGGGUGCGAGCGUUAAUCGGAAUUACUGGGCGUAAAGCGUGCGCAGGCGGUUUUGUAAGCCAGAUGUGAAAUCCCCGGGCUCAACCUGGGAAUGGCAUUUGGGACUGCAAGGCUUGAGUGCGGCAGAGGAGACUGGAAUUCCUGGUGUAGCAGUGAAAUGCGUAGAUAUCAGGAGGAAUACCGAUGGCGAAGGCAGGUCUCUGGGCUGACACUGACGCUCAUGCACGAAAGCGUGGGGAGCAAACAGGAUUAGAUACCCCGGUAGC